rnacentral:tRNA from 1 species
GCCGAGGUGGUGGAAUGGUAGACACCGGGGACUUAAAACCCCUGGCUGUAAGGCCGUGUGAGUUCAAAUCUCAUCCUCGGCA